rnacentral:rRNA from 1 species
GAUGAACGCUGGCGGCGUGCCUAAUACAUGCAAGUCGAGCGAACGGACGAGAAGCUUGCUUCUCUGUUGUUAGCGGCGGACGGGUGAGUAACACGUGGAUAACCUACCUAUCAGUCUGGGAUAACUUCGGGAAACCGGAGCUAAUACCGGAUAAUAUUAUGAACCGCAUGGUUCAAAAGUGAAAGACGGUCUUGCUGUCACUUAUAGAUGGAUCCGGGCUGCAUUAGCUAGUUGGUAAGGUAACGGCUUACCAAGGCAACGAUGCAUAGCCGACCUGAGAGGAGGAUCGGCCACCCUGGAACGGGGACGCGGACCAGACUCCUAAGGGAGGCAGCAGUAGGGAAUCUUCCGCAAUGGGCGAGAGCAUGACGGAGCAACGCCAAGUGAGUGAUGAAGAUCUUCGGAUCGUAAAACUCUGUUAUUAGGGGAGAACAUAUGUGUAAGUAACUGUACACAUCUUGACGGUACCUGAUCAGAAAGCCACGGCUAACUACGUG